GACUCAUGAAGGACUGUGAAUGAACUACACUGCAGGAUAGGGAAAUGUCUUCAUGCAGCAGCUAUCCAAGAUGUUCGAAGCAGCUGGAAAUGCCCCACUUGGGACUGGACUGUUUCAGGAUGUAACUGAGGACAGAAACCCUGGGAUCACAGUUUGAUGGAGCUUCUUGGCCUCAUGAUCAGCAUCACAAAGGAAAGAACCUGGUUUGAAAUGGUUUUUGACAGCGUCGUUCCUAAGUUGAGCUGUAUCUCAGGAAAGAGGUCUAGAGCUCUUCAAAGAACCUGGACAGGCACAGUGGCUCACACCUGUAAUCCCAGCAAUGUGGGAGUCCGAGGCAGAUGGAUCACUUGGGGUCAGGGAACCAACCUGGCCACAAUGGUGAAACCCCAUCUCUACUAAAAAUACAAAAAAAUUAGCCUGGCAUGGUGGCACACACCUGUAAUCCCAGCUACUCGGGAGGCUGAGGCAGAAGGAUUGCUUGAACCUGGGAGGCAGAGGUUGCAGUGAGCCAAGAUGGUGCCACUGCACUCCAGCCUGGGCAACAGAGUGAGACUCUGUCUCAAAAAAAACAAAGACCCAAGAAUUACUGUGAACCACCAUGUCUCAGUGUCACUUACAUAUACUGUAGCAGGGUACCUCAAAGUUAAUUUGCUGUAUGGUCACUGGCAAAGAAAGUACACACACACACACACACACAAAAGUUCAUUUGCAAUUACAAAAUUCGAGCUGGGCACGGUGGCUUACACCUGUAAUCCCAGCACUUUCGGAGGCCGAGGCAGGCAGAUCACGAGGUCAGGAGAUCGAGACCAUCCUGGUUAACACGGUGAAACCCCGUCUCUACUAAAGAUACAAAAAAUUAGCCGGGCGAGGCGGCGGGUGCCUGUAGUCCCAGCUACUCAGGAGGCUGAGGCAGGAGAAUGGCAUGAACCUGGGAGGCGGAGCUUGCAGUGAGCUGAAAUCACACCACUGCACUCCAUCCAGCCUGGGCAACAGAGCGAGACUCCAUCUCAAAAAAAAAA
rnacentral:lncRNA from 1 species